CAUGUAGGCGGCUUAAUAAGUCGAGCGUGAAAAUGCGGGGCUCGACCCCGUAUGGCGCUGGAAACUGUUAGGCUUGAGUGCAGGAGAGGAAAGGGGAAUUCCCAGUGUAGCGGUGAAAUGCGUAGAUAUUGGGAGGAACACCAGUGGCGAAGGCGCCUUUCUGGACUGUGUCUGACGCUGAGAUGCGAAAGCCAGGGUAGCGAACG
rnacentral:rRNA from 1 species